rnacentral:rRNA from 1 species
CCUUUGCCGGCGACCGGCGCACGGGUGAGUAACACGUAUCUAACCUGCCGAUGACUCGGGGAUAGCCUUUCGAAAGAAAGAUUAAUACCCGAUGGCAUAGUUCUUCCGCAUGGUAGAACUAUUAAAGAAUUUCGGUCAUCGAUGGGGAUGCGUUCCAUUAGGUUGUUGGCGGGGUAACGGCCCACCAAGCCUUCGAUGGAUAGGGGUUCUGAGAGGAAGGUCCCCCACAUUGGAACUGAGACACGGUCCAA